GAUGAACGCUGGCGGCGUGCUUAACACAUGCAAGUCGAACGGAAAGGCCCAAGCUUGCUUGGGUACUCGAGUGGCGAACGGGUGAGUAACACGUGGGUGAUCUGCCCUGCACUUUGGGAUAAGCCUGGGAAACUGGGUCUAAUACCGGAUAGGACCACUUCUUGGAUGUUGUGGUGGAAAGUUUUUUCGGUGUGGGAUGAGCUCGCGGCCUAUCAGCUUGUUGGUGGGGUAAUGGCCUACCAAGGCGUCGACGGGUAGCCGGCCUGGGAGGGUGUACGGCCACAUUGGGACUGAGAUACGGCCCAGACUCCUACGGGAGGCAGCAGUGGGGAAUAUUGCACAAUGGGCGCAAGCCUGAUGCAGCGACGCCGCGUGGGGGAUGACGGCCUUCGGGUUGGAAACUCCUUUCGCUAGGGACGAAGCGUUUUGUGACGGUACCUGGAGAAGAAGCACCGGCUAACUACGUG
rnacentral:rRNA from 1 species